rnacentral:rRNA from 1 species
CUUGUGCCAGCAGCCGCGGUAAUACGAAGGGGGCUAGCGUUGUUCGGAUUUACUGGGCGUAAAGCGCACGUAGGCGGACUAUUAAGUCAGGGGUGAAAUCCCGGGGCUCAACCCCGGAACUGCCUUUGAUACUGGUAGUCUCGAGUCCGGAAGAGGUGAGUGGAAUUCCGAGUGUAGAGGUGAAAUUCGUAGAUAUUCGGAGGAACACCAGUGGCGAAGGCGGCUCACUGGUCCGGUACUGACGCUGAGGUGCGAAAGCGUGGGGAGCAAAC